GGUGAGAAAAUGAGACGUGUCUAUAUUGCCUACGGCA
rnacentral:sRNA from 1 species